UACGUAGGGUGCAAGCGUUAAUCGGAAUUACUGGGCGUAAAGCGUGCGCAGGCGGUUUUGUAAGUCUGAUGUGAAAUCCCCGGGCUCAACCUGGGAAUUGCAUUGGAGACUGCAAGGCUAGAAUCUGGCAGAGGGGGGUAGAAUUCCACGUGUAGCAGUGAAAUGCGUAGAGAUGUGGAGGAACACCGAUGGCGAAGGCAGCCCCCUGGGUCAAGAUUGACGCUCAUGCACGAAGCGUGGGGAGCAAAC
rnacentral:rRNA from 1 species